CGGAAACCAGCUAGCUUGGGACCGAGCGACCUGAGGGGUACGUCCGGGGUAGGAGUGAAAUCCCGUAAUCCCGGACGGACCAUCGGUGGCGAAAGCGCCUCAGGAGAGCGGAUCCGACGGUGAGGGACGAAAGCUAGGGUCUCGAACCGGAUUAGAUACCCGGGUAGUCCUAGCCGUAAACGAUGCUCGCUAGGUGUGGCGCUGGCUACGAGCCAGCGCUGUGCCGUAGGGAAGCCGAGAAGCGAGCCGCCUGGGAAGUACGUCCGCAAGGAUGAAACUUAAAGGAAUUGGCGGGGGAGCACUACAACCGGAGGAGCCUGCGGUUUAAUUGGACUCAACGCCGGACAUCUCACCGGCACCGACUGUAGUAAUGACGGUCAGGUUGAUGACCUUGCCACGAGCUACAGAGAGGAGGUGCAUGGCCGCCGUCAGCUCGUACCGUGAGGCGUCCUGUUAAGUCAGGCAACGAGCGAGACCCGUGUCCCUAAUUGCCAGCAACACCGAGAGGUGGUUGGGUACAUUAAGGAGACUGCCGCUGCCAAAGCGGAGGAAGGAACGGGCAACGGUAGGUCAGUAUGCCCCGAAUGUGCCGGGCUACACGCGGGCUACAAUGGCCGGGACAGUGGGACGCGACACCGAGAGGUGGAGCUAAUCUCCGAAACCCGGUCGUGGCUCGGAUUGC
rnacentral:rRNA from 1 species